AACGAACGCUGGCGGCAUGCCUAACACAUGCAAGUCGAACGAGACCUUCGGGUCUAGUGGCGCACGGGUGCGUAACGCGUGGGAACCUGCCCUUAGGUUCGGAAUAACUCUCCGAAAGGGGUGCUAAUACCGGAUAAUGUCUUCGGCCCAAAGAUUUAUCGCCUUUGGAUGGGCCGGCGUUGGAUUAGCUAGUUGGUAGGGUAAAAGCCUACCAAGGCGACGAUCCAUAGCUGGUCUGAGAGGAUGAUCAGCCACACUGGGACUGAGACACGGCCCAGACUCCUACGGGAGGCAGCAGUGGGGAAUAUUGGACAAUGGGCGAAAGCCUGAUCCAGCAAUGCCGCGUGAGUGAUGAAGGCCUUAGGGUUGUAAAGCUCUUUUACCCGGGAUGAUAAUGACAGUACCGGGAGAAUAAGCUCCGGCUAACUCCGUG
rnacentral:rRNA from 1 species